UCCAGGGAUCUGAUUUUUAUUUUCUCAUUUUGUUGAUAUAAACUGGACAUUUAUUUUGGUUUCAUGAUUUUUCAGUAAAAGGAAGCAAAGCAAAUACUAUUUGUUAAUUAUGUCUUGCAUAUAAGAAAACUUUGCCACUUGAUUACUCAGUGUGCACUUCAAUUGGCUUACUCUAUUUUCCACUCCUCUUCUCCUGAAAGGUGAAGAGGACAUUUCAUUUUCAGCUGAGCAGAAAAUCAGGAAGCUGUUGCUUUUCACCCUUCACCUUUGACCUCAGGAGAGACCGUGUUUCUUCAUGAAAUAAUAAUGUCUAUUUUCAAAACUCUUAGUGCAACCUGAAGAAUAAAAGCAAAGGAAUCGA